CUCGAAGUAGUCACCCUCACCAAAGCCAAUGUGCUGCGCUAGCGCCGCCAGUGCGAGAGGAGUUCCCAUGCACUGCAGCUGGACGCACCGCGCCGCCACUGCCUUUCGGGCCCGUCCGCCGCGGGGGACGGACGAGGGACCCAGUUACACAAGCCGGGCUUGAGGGUUUGAAAUGACGCUCGGGCAGGCAUGCCCCCCGGAAUACCAGGGGGCGCAAUGUGCGUUCAAAGAUUCGAUGAUUCACGGAAUUCUGCAAUUCACAUUACUUAUCGCAUUUCGCUGCGUUCUUCAUCGAUG
rnacentral:misc_RNA from 1 species